AACGAACGCUGGCGGCAGGCCUAACACAUGCAAGUCGAGCGCGCCCUUCGGGGUGAGCGGCGGACGGGUGAGUAACGCGUGGGAACGUGCCCUUCUCUGCGGAAUAGCCUCGGGAAACUGAGAGUAAUACCGCAUACGCCCUUUGGGGGAAAGAUUUAUCGGAGAAGGAUCGGCCCGCGUUGGAUUAGGUAGUUGGAGGGGUAAUGGCCCACCAAGCCGACGAUCCAUAGCUGGUUUGAGAGGAUGAUCAGCCACACUGGGACUGAGACACGGCCCAGACUCCUACGGGAGGCAGCAGUGGGGAAUCUUAGACAAUGGGGGCAACCCUGAUCGAGCCAUGCCGGGUGAGUGAUGAAGGCCUUAGGGUUGUAAAGCUCUUUCAGCUGGGAAGAUAAUGACGGUACCAGAAGAAGAAGCCCCGGCUAACUCCGUG
rnacentral:rRNA from 1 species